UGGUUUGGUUUAUUCUGUCGUUAAGCAUUUGGCUGCUAACCAAAAGGUCAUUGGUUCAAACCCAACAGCCA
rnacentral:tRNA from 1 species